GACAGAGGGUGCAAACGUUGUUCGGAAUUACUGGGCGGAAAGCGCGUGUAGGCGGCAGCGUGUGUCGGGCGUGAAAUCCCACGGCUCAACCGUGGAAGUGCACUCGAAACUGCGCAGCUAGAGUCCUGGAGAGGAAGGUGGAAUGCUUGGUGUAGAGGUGAAAUUCGUAGAUAUCAAGCGGAACACCGGUGGCUAAGGCGGCGACCUGGUCUGUGACUGACGCUGAGGCGCGAAAGCGUGGGGAGCAAACAGG
rnacentral:rRNA from 1 species